AGCAUUUUGGCGCAGAGGAAGCGCGCUGGGCUCAUAACCCAGAGGGCUCUGGAUCAAAACCAGAAAGUGCUA